AAUAUUUCAGCAAAGUGCUCACACAACACAGUAGACAAGCGGUUACAGCAGAUAAGCUUUUAGCUCUUUGAAGUGAUGAUUUUCAUGUGAAAAAUAAUGGAGUCUUGUCUUUCUCUUCAACCUUCUCCUUUGUUCAUCAUCCCUUCUAAUCCAAACCCUAAAUUUAAACUAAAACGCCAUCUUUUUUCUUAUUCUUUCAAGCAUCAAAGAUGUAUAUGUUCUUCUUCUUCUUCAAAAGAUUCUUCCAAUUCUAUACCUGUAGGGGACAAUUCUUCUGGCAACUUUUGCAUCAUAGAGGGACCCGAAACAGUUCAGAACUUUGUUCAAAUGCAGGCACAGGAGAUCCAAGAUAAUAUAAGGAGUAGGCGUAAUAAGAUAUUUCUUCUUAUGGAAGAGGUAAGGAGACUACGGAUACAACAACGUCUCAAGGGAAUGAAAGCUGCACAUGAUGCAUCAUCCGACGAGGCAAAUGAAAUGCCUGAAAUUCCUUCAUCAAUUCCCUUCCUUCCUCAUGUGACUCCAAUGUCAUUGAAGAAGCUAUACUUGACUAGCUUUUCGUUUAUCACGGGGAUCAUUGUCUUUGGAGGCCUCAUUGCUCCAACUCUGGAAUUGAAAUUAGGCAUAGGUGGAACAUCUUAUAAGGAUUUUAUUCUCAGCUUGCAUUUGCCUCUACAACUGAGUCAAGUUGAUCCCAUAGUGGCGUCUUUCUCCGGUGGAGCUGUGGGUGUUAUUUCAGCUUUGAUGCUCAUUGAAGUUAACAAUGUCGAACAACAAGAGAAGAAACGAUGCAAAUAUUGCCAUGGAUCCGGCUAUUUGGCUUGUGCUCGGUGUUCUUCAAGUGGUGUGUGCCUGAGGACGGAACCGAUUUCAAUAUCCGGUGAUUUUGAUCGUCCCUUGCGAGUGCCAACUACACAAAGGUGUUCAAAUUGUUCAGGAGUCGGAAAAGUAUGCACUUCUCUCGAUUGAAAAUGCUUUUAUUGAAAUAUUACAUCUACGAUUUGCCAGCUAUCAGUCCGAAGUCCAAACCCAUUUAUUUCGGGUUAGGUUCUGGUCAGAUUUGCAACACAGGUAAUGUGUCCUACAUGCCUUUGCACCGGGAUGAUAAUGGCUAGCGAACAUGAUCUGCGAAUAGAUCCAUUCGAUUAAGAUGGUUAUCGAUAUAACAACGUAGCAGGUGCUUCCGGGUUAAUCGAUUCUAUUUUUUUGGAAACCUCAAAGAAAGUGUUCUUGUUGGUCUUGUAUGAAAUGUUUUUGUAUUUAUGUAAUUAAUCCUUGUUUUUGAUUUAUAAAAGUACCAUGUGUAAAAAUUUCAAUAUAGUGUCUUUUCUUCGUUUCAAAUUAGUUGCGACAUAAGA